UCUCUUGCUCUCCACCAUGAGGGCUCUGGACAACCUUGGGCUGGACAUUCAGCAAAGCCGUCAUCAGCUGUUUCAAUGGGUUUGCUUUGGAUGUAUUUAUAGCUGAGCAAUGCAGGGAAGGCCUAGAAGUUGUACCCGAGCAGAUCAAAGCAGUACUUCUGGACUCGGCUGGUUUCCAGUUGUAGCUUUGCUCUCCGACAGUUGAAUUUGCAAAGGGGUGCGUGGAGAAAAUUUAUGGGAUAGUCCGAUGAUAUGGAACUGGCUUCAUUCCAGUGGAUAAAUGAUAAAUCCAAGUAGGUUCACCACAUGUUCAACCAGGUCUCUGUUUUAGGUUGGAUUAUUGAUGGUGUACUUCUCUCCAGCAUUAUGCUUGGAAGUAGUACUUGAUGCAGUAGUGUUGCCUCCAGUAACUUUAGUUUUUCUUUCUUUUAUUAUUUUUUAAAUAAGAUUCUGUCGUUCCGUUUCA